rfam:Shewanella frigidimarina NCIMB 400, complete genome.
UGCUCCCUGGGAUAUUUGCUCGUUGGUUAAGUCCCUGUGCCGAUAAUUACAAACCCAGGGUGAAUGCUUUCGUUAACAUUGUGCAUGCUCGGAUUAUACCGAGAAGCCUUAGGAGAUGAACAUUUACCCGCCUUGAACCUACGGUUCAAGGGCUGCGCCGGCAGCGGUAUUUUGGGGAGCAU